GCUUGCUCCGCUGACGAGUGGCGAACGGGUGAGUAAUAUAUCGGAACGUACCAUUCAGUGGGGGAUAACGUAGCGAAAGUUACGCUAAUACCGCAUAUUCUGUGAGCAGGAAAGCAGGGGAUCGCAAGACCUUGCGCUGAUUGAGCGGCCGAUAUCAGAUUAGCUUGUUGGUGAGGUAAAAGCUCACCAAGGCGACGAUCUGUAGCGGGUCUGAGAGGAUGAUCCGCCACACUGGAACUGAGACACGGUCCAGACUCCUACGGGAGGCAGCAGUGGGGAAUUUUGGACAAUGGGGCAACCCUGAUCCAGCCAUGCCGCGUGAGUGAAGAAGGCCUUCGGGUUGUAAAGCUCUUUCAGCCGGGAAGAAAACGCAUGGGUUAAUACCCUGUGUGGAUGACGGUACCGGAAUAAGAAGCACCGGCUAACUACGUGCCAGCAGCCGCGGUAAUACGUAGGGUGCGAGCGUUAAUCGGAAUUACUGGGCGUAAAGCGUGCGCAGGCGGUUUUGUAAGACAGGCGUGAAAUCCCCGGGCUUAACCUGGGAACUGCGUUUGUGACUGCAAGGCUAGAGUACGGCAGAGGGGGGUGGAAUUCCACGUGUAGCAGUGAAAUGCGUAGAGAUGUGGAGGAACACCAAUGGCGAAGGCAGCCCCCUGGGUCGAUACUGACGCUCAUGCACGAAAGCGUGGGUAGCAAACAGGAUUAGAUACCCUGGUAGUCCACGCCCUAAACGAUGUCAACUAGGUGUUGGGAGGGUAAAACCUUUUAGUACCGGAGCUAACGCGUGAAGUUGACCGCCUGGGGAGUACGGCCGCAAGGUUAAAACUCAAAGGAAUUGACGGGGACCCGCACAAGCGGUGGAUGAUGUGGAUUAAUUCGAUGCAACGCGAAAAACCUUACCUACCCUUGACAUGCCAAGAACUUUCCAGAGAUGGAUUGGUGCCCGAAAGGGAACUUGGACACAGGUGCUGCAUGGCUGUCGUCAGCUCGUGUCGUGAGAUGUUGGGUUAAGUCCCGCAACGAGCGCAACCCUUGUCGUUAAUUGCCAUCAUUUAGUUGGGCACUUUAACGAGACUGCCGGUGACAAACCGGAGGAAGGUGGGGAUGACGUCAAGUCCUCAUGGCCCUUAUGGGUAGGGCUUCACACGUCAUACAAUGGUCGGUACAAAGGGUCGCCAAGCCGCGAGGUGGAGCCAAUCCCAGAAAGCCGAUCGUAGUCCGGAUCGCAGUCUGCAACUCGACUGCGUGAAGUCGGAAUCGCUAGUAAUCGUGGAUCAGAAUGUCACGGUGAAUACGUUCCCGGGUCUUGUACACACCGCCCGUCACACCAUGGGAGCGGGUUCCGCCAGAAGUAGGUAGCCUAACCGCAAGGAGGGCGCUUACCACGGCGGGGUUCGUGACUGGGGUGAAGUCGUAACAAGGUA
rnacentral:rRNA from 1 species